GCGCUUGUCGCUUAAUUGGAUAAAGCGCUGGCCUCCGGAGCCAGAGAAUCCGGGUUCAAUUCCCGGCAAGCGCA
rnacentral:tRNA from 1 species